AAAGCCAAGAUACAUCCUUCAUACAUGCACUUAGACAUUUGGCAAUAAUAUGAUUUAUGUUUAAUACAAACAUGCAGUUAUUUGACAUAGGAACAUGAGCAAUCAAUUUAUUUUGUUUCCUUAGAUAGAAGCUUCCUUCCUUUAGUUGCAUAUCAAAUCCUCUCUCCAAGAGUUGCCCAAUACUAAGAAUAUUGGUUUUCAUAUCAGGCACAUAAUAGACAU
rnacentral:lncRNA from 1 species